CCUACGGGUGGCUGCAGUGGGGAAUAUUGGACAAUGGGCGAAAGCCUGAUCCAGCCAUGCCGCGUGUGUGAAGAAGGCCUUCGGGUUGUAAAGCACUUUCAGUGGGGAAGAAAGCCUUGGGGCUAAUACCCUCGAGGAAGGACAUCACCCACAGAAGAAGCACCGGCUAACUCCGUGCCAGCAGCCGCGGUAAUACGGAGGGUGCGAGCGUUAAUCGGAAUUACUGGGCGUAAAGCGCGCGUAGGCGGUCUGAUAAGCCGGUUGUGAAAGCCCCGGGCUCAACCUGGGAACGGCAUCCGGAACCGUCAGGCUAGAGUGCAGGAGAGGAAGGUAGAAUUCCCGGUGUAGCGGUGAAAUGCGUAGAGAUCGGGAGGAAUACCAGUGGCGAAGGCGGCCUUCUGGACUGACACUGACGCUGAGGUGCGAAAGCGUGGGUAGCAAACAGGAUUAGAUACCCUUGUAGUC
rnacentral:rRNA from 1 species